GCCGCGCAUCCGGCGGUGUGGGUGCCGCUGCAUCUGGUGGGUGCGGGGGUGGACCUGGACACCCGCACCGCCGGGGUUGCCGCCCGCGCGCCGCA
rnacentral:tRNA from 1 species